rnacentral:lncRNA from 1 species
CGUCAUCUAAGAACUCAAAUAUGAGGUACGCGGUACCUUUUGCGAUGAAAUUUAGCGCGAGAGGCGUUGAUGUGACUUUGGCCUCGGUCAAUUGAGGCAGCCAAACUUGUUUGCGCUCAUACGAUUUUUGUUGGCUACAUGCGAGAUACCUUGCAAUAGAGAAUGCUGUAUAGUACCUAUAACGCGUUUCAGCCAGGCGAGAUAUUAUGUUUGGUCCGUUACACACACACACACACACACACACACACACACACACACACACACACACACACACACACACACGGACAUGGGCAAUCCUACAGGUCGGGGCCCCCCUGGGCGCUUCGCGCUGGGGCCCCGCCCAAAAAAUUUCCUAAGGCUCUGGCACUUCGCCACUUGGCAUUACCUUCGCUCUUUUU